rnacentral:rRNA from 1 species
CCUACGGGUGGCAGCAGUGAGGAAUAUUUGUCAAUGGGCUUACGCCUGAACCAGCCAAGUCGCGUGAGGGAAGACUGCCCUAUGGGUUGUAAACCUCUUUUGUCAGGGAGCAAUUGGCGCUACGUGUAGCGUUAUCGAGAGUAACUGAAGAAAAAGCAUCGGCUAACUCCGUGCCAGCAGCCGCGGUAAUACGGAGGAUGCGAGCGUUAUCCGGAUCUUUUGGGUGUAAAGGGUGCGUAGGCGGAAUGCCAAGUCAGCGGGAAAAUCGCGGGGCUCAACCUCGCUCCGCCGAUGAGACUGGCGUUCUUGAGUGGGCGAGAAGUAUGCGGAAUGCGUGGUGUAGCAGUGAAAUGCGUAGAUAUCACGCAGAACUCCGAUUGCGAAGGCAGCAUACCGGCGCCCAACUGACGCUGAAGCACGAAGGCGUGGGUAUCGAACGGGAUUAGAUACCCUAGUAGUC